AACCAUAGGCUCGUAUUGGUUUGAUAUCACAGGAAAGGGGGACAGUGUUGCUUGUUUCUUUCGGGAGACGACCUUCGUUUGUUCCUUGCUAUUGUUGCUUAGCUUUCCUACUAUCGACUAAUGUAUUCAACGCUCGAGAGGCAAAGUCUCAAGGAACUAAUGGUGUCUAUAGUUAUUAUACUUCUCCUCCAAACUAGUUUACCUAGUUUGGGGUAUUGAGUCGUUGGUGAUUAUGUCUGUGCACCUUAGUUGUUGCCAUUACUUACAUGGAUGAGACAGAAGCAGCCCCGUUGACGAGUAUUACUUAGAUUAAGUAGGAUGCACGGCCUUGAACUCUUCAACAGUCAGGAUAAUCCUCCCGGAUACUUCUGCCUUUUGAAUUGAGUUCGACCGUCUUUGUUGCCAUCCUACAGCGGUAUAUUCCUAAACACUAUGGAGAUCCUAGUUGGUCGAUUAUCAUUUGUGUAAAACCAUACUGCAAACAUCU
rnacentral:snoRNA from 1 species